GGCCCCGUAGUUCAAUGGAUAGAACGGAAGUUUCCUAAACUUUAGAUACAGGUUCGAUUCCUGUCGGGGCUACCA
rnacentral:tRNA from 1 species